GACGAACGCUGGCGGCGUGCUUAACACAUGCAAGUCGAGCGGUAAGGCCCUUUCGGGGGUACACGAGCGGCGAACGGGUGAGUAACACGUGGGUGACCUGCCCUCAGCUCUGGGAUAAGCCUGGGAAACUGGGUCUAAUACCGGAUAUGACUCCAUGACGCAUGUUGUGGGGUGGAAAGCCUUGUGCGGCUGAGGAUGGGCCCGCGGCCUAUCAGCUUGUUGGUGGGGUGANGGCCUACCAAGGCGACGACGGGUAGCCGGCCUGAGAGGCGACCGGCCACACUGGGACUGAGACACGGCCCAGACUCCUACGGGAGGCAGCAGUGGGGAAUCUUGCGCAAUGGGCGAAAGCCUGACGCAGCGACGCCGCGUGAGGGAUGACGGCC
rnacentral:rRNA from 1 species